rnacentral:rRNA from 1 species
UACGGGGGGGAGCAAGCGUUGUUCGGAUUUACUGGGCGUAAAGGGCGCGUAGGCGGCGCAACAAGUCACUUGUGAAAUCUCCGGGCUUAACCCGGAGCGGCCAAGUGAUACUGUCGUGCUAGAGUGCGGAAGGGGCUACUGGAAUUCUCGGUGUAGGCGGUGAAAUGCGUAGAUAUCGAAGAGGAACACCUGCGGCGAAGGCGGGUAGCUGGG